rnacentral:rRNA from 1 species
GUAUAUGUCCAUACCACCCUGAAUGCGCCCAAUCUUGUCUGAUCUCAGAAGCUAAGCAGGAUCAGGCCUAGUUAGAACUUGGACAGGAGAAGGAACCCUUCUCAGAGUCAGAAAAGCUGCUGUUGUUUCUA